rnacentral:rRNA from 1 species
GGGUUUCCCGGGCAAUGCCAAUCAGCCCGGGGUCAGUCGGGUCCUAAGUCUAAGCCGAACGGCGAUGGCGAUGGCAGAGACGGUUAAUAUUCCGUCACUGCCGCAUGGGGCGACGUGGAGACGGAGCAGUGAAACCACCGCGGGGCGACGGAAGUCCCCGUUGAAGAGUGUAGGUGUUGAGGAUGGCAGGCAAAUCCACCGUCCGAGCAGAACUUGAUAGUAUGGAGUCUUCUUCGGAAGAAUCCAAUAGUGUGGGUAAUCAUACUCCCGAGAAAAUCCGCUAAGCUUAACCCAUGCGGCACCCGUACCGCAAACGGACACACGUGGUCGGGUAGAACAUACUGAGGCGUUGAGAGAUUCAUGGUUAAGGAACUAGGCAAAUUGACCCUGUAACUUCGGGAUAAAGGGUCCUCGUGAAUAGCGAGGCGCAGAGAAUAGGUCCAGGCAACUGUUUAACAAAAACACAGGGCUGUGCAAACUCGAAAGAUGACGUAUACAGCCUGACACCUGCCCGGUGCCGGAAGGUUAAGAGGAGAUGUCACUCGCAAGAGGAAGCAUUGAAUUGAAGCCCCGGUAAACGGCGGCCGUAACAAUAACGGUCCUAAGGUAGCGAAAUUCCUUGUCGGGUAAGUUCCGACCUGCACGAAUGGUGUAAUGAUCCGGACGCUGUCUCAACCAUGAGCUCAGUGAAAUUGUAGUAUCGGUGAAGAUGCCGAUUACCCGCGAUGGGACGAAAAGACCCCGUGAACCUUUACUACAGCUUAGCAUUGACCUUGGUCAUCCGAUGUGUAGGAUAGGCCGGAGGCUUCGAAGCGGGAGCGCCAGCUUUCGUGGAGCCAUCCUUGAAAUACGGCCCUUUGGCUGUCUGAGGUCUAACGCGUGAAACACGGACACUGCUUGGUGGGUAGUUUGACUGGGGUGGUCGCCUCCAAAAGCGUAACGGAGGCUUCCAAAGGUGCCCUCGGGUCGAUUGGUAACCGACCUCAAAGAGUGCAAUGGCAUAAGGGCGCUUGACUGGGAGGCAGACAUGCCGAGCAGGCAGGAAACUGGGGCAUAGUGAUCCGGCGGAUGUGUAUGGAAACUCCGUCGCUCAAAGGAUAAAAGGUACUCCGGGGAUAACAGGCUGAUCCCCCCCAAGAGCUCAUAUCGACGGGGUGGUUUGGCACCUCGGUGUCGGCUCGUCACAUCCUGGGGCUGGAGAAGGUCCCAAGGGUUGGGCUGUUCGCCCAUUAAAGUGGCACGCGAGCUGGGUUCAGAACGUCGUGAGACAGUUCGGUCUCUAUCUAUCGUGGGCGUGGGAGUUUUGAGUGGUGCCGUCACUAGUACGAGAGGACCGUGAUGGACAGACCUCCGGUUUACCAGUUGUGCCGCCAGGCGCACCGCUGGGUAUCUGAGUCUGGAUUGGAUAAGCGCUGAAGGCAUCUAAGUGCGAAGCCAGCCGCAAGAUGAGAACUCCAUUGAGGGUCGUCAGAGACGAUGACGUUGAUAGGAUGCAGGUGUAAAGACAGCGAUGUCAAAGCCGAGCAUUACUAAUUGCCC